UGACUGCAAAUAUGUAUUAGAGAUUUAAUUUUCAAUCCUUUGAUUUAUUUGUUGGUUUCUGAGCUUCAUGUUGCGUUUUGUAAUGCUCGUUUCUUUCGUUUCGUAUAAGAAUAAUAUGAUUUGCUUUUAAUGAAAUUGUGUCUUAAGUUGUAAUUUUCUGAUUCUCGUUGUUACAUUUGAUCUCUACUGCUUUCACUACCAUCUAUAAACGAAAGGGUGGAAUUUUUCAGGUUUCCCGGGUUCAAGAGAAGAUUCGUCGGAGAUACCUCUGUAGCGUAAGAGUGGAAUUUCAAGGUGUAUCGGGGA